GUUAAGUAAGACCCUACAUGCUUUCAGCUGUCUACAUACUUAUCUCAUCUCAUUCUGACAGCUAUCACAAUAAAAAAUCUCGCAUUUGUAAAUUAAUCACGUCGCACAGCUGGAUUAGAAGUGACGAAGAAUUCAUAAUUACACCUGCGAUGAAUUGAUGUCUGCAUAAGUAUAUCUGUAUUUGCUUCGAAACGAAUGGACCUAUUAUGCAUCAUGAGAUAGACCUGUAUAGAAGAUGUUACCUGAUUGUACGAUCAAUGAACCAGUGCAUUUAUACCAGCAGAUGUGGCAAUAAGAUGCGUAAAAAAUUGCAAAACUCGAGACUUCUUUCAAUUUGUGGUAUUGCUCUUGCGACAUUGUAUUGUUUACGUGCAUUAGGUAGGUCGAUAGAGUACUCAUAGUAUACAACACAGCUCACGAUAAUUGCUUCGAGACAAGUACAUACAAAUAUAAUUACAAUACCUUGUAGUGGUAAUUUUUCCUACAUGUACGAGUACGUAUUAGCAGCUAUAUAUUAGAUUCAACCACUUACCAAUAUCACACCAGUGAUACAGGUAUAAUGUCCGGAAUUUUAGCCAAACAUUUGUUUUUAUAACGUUUCGUCAAAAAAAUAAAAAUAAAAUUACCGCCAUCGAUGUCUGCACUCCAGUCGUGCAUUUAAAGGGCUGAUUAGGUACUCGUUGUGGAGGUAAUGACAAUGAAAUUAUCGCACAUUAAUGUCACAGUGAUGAGAAUAUAAAGUGUUGAUAAAUUUUAAUCAUCUCCUCUCAUCAAAUUACGAGUAUACAA